UAAAAGAAACUGUGUCUCCAAGUAGGACAAGCAGAGGGUGAGGGCAAGUUUUUGCAGGGGACACAGGAGUCUCUCACUAACACUCUAGUUGUGAAGCCUUGAUCCCUACAACCAAGCCCAGCGUGGUUGCUCUCUAUAUCUUCCUGUGUAACCUUCCAGAGGUCUGCAUCAACCCGGAAGAGGGGCAACUUUCCAGAAUCAUCCCUCUUCAGUCAUCACUCUGCGACAGUGGCUUCCAAUGCUGUAAAAGGAACCUCUUGGGAAACAUGUGAUACACACUGCUGUGGGUACCUUCAGACGUGCCAUCUGCCUUACCGAAAUCGACCUAGAGAAAUCGCGUGCCGAAAGACGACCUAGUUAGGCAGACGGAAAAGCUGGAGCUGGCAGUCAGAUUCUCACGUUCCGAAGUCUGGCAGUGGGAAGGACACAAGUUCCCAAUUUGUUGGAAAAUUAGUGUUCUAAUAAAUCUACAACAACAACAAUGGCAAAAUCAUCCCUGGUCACUUGAAAACAUGUGUCUAGUGACACGAGCAUCCAUCAACCAAGAUUCCUGUGAGAAACCUCUAAGAGAGAAGAAAGCUUCAAAAGGUAUAGCCUCCAAUACAGAUGGGACUGCUUCCUUCGCUGAUAUCAGAACUGGAACUCCAGAGUUUCCGUCGUCACUGAGACCCGCUCUCUAGGAACUCGCAGCCUCAGAACCAACACUCCGGAGUUUGCGAUGUCACUGAGGCCCGUGCUACAGGAACUUUCGGCACCAGAUUGGGACUGCUGAGGCAGCCACCCUCAUGGGCACAACUGCAGGUUCUCAGCCUGCCAGUGUGAAACAGCCAUCGUGGAACCGCUCCACUGCUGAGACACCUGGCCUCAACAACCACCAGAUUCCAGAGGCUCUGCCUCUCGGGUGGGAGGCUGCUGCUCUCGCUAUUUGAGCAUAAACUAUCUAUUGUCUGUCUAUCUCUCUGUCUACAUAUCAUAUGUGUACACACACACACACACACGGACGCACACACGAAUGCACGCACGCACAUAUCCUACCAGUGAAGCCUACACACCCUUGCUCUCUGAUGUGUUCUGCCUUCCGUCUUACUCUCCAUUUCUCUUAGCCUUCAUGCUAAAACCCACAUUAAAAUACCUUUGUUUGCCCUGCACUCAGCUUCACUUUUUUUUUUAAACUGAGUUGUCUUUGGAACUAUAAACAGGAAGAUAUGGUUUCCAUUUCCAGUUUUAUGCAUCACGAAAAUUUCUGAUGAGCACUUUGAAGCUACUCUAGCAAAAAACCCAGCCUUUUGCCUGAAAGUGGUCUUUGGUGAAGAAAAAUGCACUUUUAAGUGUGGAAUAUCUGUCCUGGAGAUGGAAGGACGGGAUGAUAAGGAGCGGUUUCAAAGCAAACACUCCAGUGAGCCUACUUCUACAAGAGAGGACCAGACCCCAGUCUGAGCACCAGAGAGCCUGAGGGGAGCAGGAGCUGAGAGGCUCCUUAACAUCCACACGAGUCCCUUCCUCAAAGGAUGUUUCCAGGAUGCUGAAAUUGGGUAAAGAAGGAAGGAAGUGCGACUUCCAUUGCGUUUCAGAAAACAAAUAUGACAGAAUUUCCAUGGCUGCUUUUGGCUUGCAGAACGUCAUUGGGAACACGGCUGCUUAUAAGAAGCCAGGGUGUUAGUGUUACAUACUUAGUAUUGGGGUAAAGGUGGAGAUAAUGUCUGGUACAGUUAAAAACAAAUGAUCCUGUUGCCAUGGUUUCCUUCUUUAUAAAGUCUUUUCAGCAUGAAUUGCUGUU